rnacentral:rRNA from 1 species
GAUGAACGCUGGCGGCGUGCCUAAUACAUGCAAGUCGAGCGAACAGACGAGGAGCUUGCUCCUCUGACGUUAGCGGCGGACGGGUGAGUAACACGUGGAUAACCUACCUAUAAGACUGGGAUAACUUCGGGAAACCGGAGCUAAUACCGGAUAAUAUAUUGAACCGCAUGGUUCAAUAGUGAAAGACGGUUUUGCUGUCACUUAUAGAUGGAUCCGCGCCGCAUUAGCUAGUUGGUAAGGUAACGGCUUACCAAGGCGACGAUGCGUAGCCGACCUGAGAGGGUGAUCGGCCACACUGGAACUGAGACACGGUCCAGACUCCUACGGGAGGCAGCAGUAGGGAAUCUUGCGCAAUGGGCGAAAGCCUGACGGAGCAACGCCGCGUGAGUGAUGAAGGUCUUCGGAUCGUAAAACGCUGUUAUUAGGGAAGAACAAAUGUGUAAGUAACUAUGCACGUCUUGACGGUACCUAAUCAGAAAGCCACGGCUAACUACGUG